CCUACGGGUGGCAGCAGUGAGGAAUAUUGGUCAAUGGACGCAAGUCUGAACCAGCCAAGCCGCGUGAAGGAAGACGGCUCUAUGAGUUGUAAACUUCUUUUAUACAGGGGUAAAACGAGACACGUGUAUCGGUUUGAACGUAUCUUACGAAUAAGGAUCGGCUAACUCCGUGCCAGCAGCCGCGGUAAUACGGAGGAUUCAAGCGUUAUCCGGAUUUACUGGGUGUAAAGGGUGCGUAGGCGGGAAGAUAAGUCAGAGGUGAAAUCCCGGGGCUCAACUCCGGCACUGCAUUUGAUACUGUUUGGCUUGAGUAUAGGUGAGGCAGGCGGAAUGUAUGGUGUAGCGGUGAAAUGCAUAGAGAUUAGGAAGAACACCGGUGGCGAAGGCAGCUUGCUAAACUACGACUGACGGUGAGGCGCGAAAGCGUGGGGAGCAAACAGGAUUAGAUACCCCUGUAGUC
rnacentral:rRNA from 1 species